UACGUAGGGGGCAAGCGUUGUCCGGAAUCAUUGGGCGUAAAGAGCGUGUAGGCGGCUUGGUAAGUCCGCUGUGAAAGUCCAGGGCUCAACCCUGGAAUGCCAGUGGAAACUGUCAAGCUAGAGUCCGGAAGAGGCGAGUGGAAUUCCUGGUGUAGCGGUGAAAUGGCGCAGAUAUCAGGAGGAACACCAAUGGCGAAGGCAGCUCGCUGGGACGGUACUGACACUGAGACGCGAAAGCGUGGGGAGCAAACAGG
rnacentral:rRNA from 1 species